AUCUUGGAUAAAAAAAAGAGAGAAACUAUUCAGUGCACAACAAACAGCGAUGAAGUCGUGAUGCCAGAAUGGUCAAUCGAGCAGAGCAGGCGGCGGCAGCCCCGCACGCGCCGCGUCCGUGCGCGGCGGCCGAAAAAACGCGCGAGGCCGCCCGCGGUCCGACGAGACCGCGGCGGGAAGAGGGAAGCGAUCGACGGCCGGCCGGGCCUAGAGCUAGAGGGCGGAGGCGAGGUGCAUCGUCUCCGCCGCGACCGCGACGGUGUCGGAGAACCGCUGCAGCGCCUCGCGCAUCCACGGGUGGGGGCAGCGCGCGAUGGCCUCGGCGGCGGAGACCCACUCCCUGCGGCGCGCGGCCAUCUCGGGCCACCGGUCCAGCUCCGCGGUGACGCGCAGCGGGAGCACGAAGCCCUCGUACGUGGCGUCGUAGCUGCGGCUGCGGUAGCACCAGCGGCCCAUGGACUCGUCCAGCUCCCACCCGCCCUUGGGGAUCAGCACGCCCCCCGCGGGGCCCUUCUUCUGCGAGCUGAUCACCAGGACCUCCACCUCGCCGUCGCCCCCGCGCACGCGGUACGGGACGCAGCCCACCACCACGCGCCCGCCCGUGCUCGCGCUGUACCGCUGCAGCUCCCGGCCUUGGCGAGACACCAUAACUGCUGCCAUCUCUGUCGGUCUCUGCCUCAAAUUACUCGCUCCUUGUGGGAGAAGGGGGAUUCUCUCAAGUAGAAAUAGCUCGGCGUGUGAGAUGCGAUUGUGCUAUCUUUGGAUCUUCGCUGCCAGUGCCAGGAGGAGGAGGAGGAGGAGCCGGAUUUGGAUUGGAGCAGAUGGAAGGCGUUGCUGCCUAUUAAUAGGAGAAGCCGCGGUUGCUGGUCACUGUCGUUGCCGAGUGGGAGGGAGGAGGA
rnacentral:misc_RNA from 1 species